GACGAACGCUGGCGGCGUGCUUAACACAUGCAAGUCGAACGGAAAGGCCCUGCUUUUGUGGGGUGCUCGUGUGGCGAACGGGUGAGUAACACGUGAGUAACCCGCCCUUGACUUUGGGAUAACUUCAGGAAACUGCGGCUCAUACAGCAUAGGAGAUCCUGCUGCAUGGUGGGGGUUGGUAAGUUUCGGCGGUUGGGGCUGGACUCGCUGCUUAUCAGCUUGUUGGUGGGGUAGUGGCUUACCAAGGUUUUGACGGCUAGCCGGCCUGGGAGGCGGACCGGCGUCAUGAGGCCUGAGAGACGGAGCAGUCUCCUAUGGGAGGCAACGGGGGAGAACCUUACACAAUGGGCGGGAGCCUGAUGUGGCAACACCGCGUUCGGGAUGCCGGCUUUCGGGUUGAGAACCACUUUCGCCUUAGACGAGGCGUGAGUGACGGUACUGGGUAAAGAAGCACCGGCUAACUACGUG
rnacentral:rRNA from 1 species